rnacentral:rRNA from 1 species
GGGGCUACCCUGCAGUCGAACGAUGAUGCCCAGCUUGCUGGGUGGAUUAGUGGCGAACGGGUGAGUAACACGUGAGUAACCUGCCCCUGACUCUGGGAUAAGCGUUGGAAACGACGUCUAAUACUGGAUAUGAUCACUGGCCGCAUGGUCUGGUGGUGGAAAGAUUUUUUGGUUGGGGAUGGACUCGCGGCCUAUCAGCUUGUUGGUGAGGUAAUGGCUCACCAAGGCGACGACGGGUAGCCGGCCUGAGAGGGUGACCGGCCACACUGGGACUGAGACACGGCCCAGACUCCUACGGGAGGCAGCAGUGGGGAAUAUUGCACAAUGGGCGAAAGCCUGAUGCAGCAACGCCGCGUGAGGGAUGACGGCCUUCGGGUUGUAAACCUCUUUUAGUAGGGAAGAAGCGAAAGUGACGGUACCUGCAGAAAAAGCACCGGCUAACUACGUGCCAGCAGCCGCGGUAAUACGUAGGGUGCAAGCGUUGUCCGGAAUUAUUGGGCGUAAAGAGCUCGUAGGCGGUUUGUCGCGUCUGCUGUGAAAUCCCGAGGCUCAACCUCGGGCUUGCAGUGGGUACGGGCAGACUAGAGUGCGGUAGGGGAGAUUGGAAUUCCUGGUGUAGCGGUGGAAUGCGCAGAUAUCAGGAGGAACACCGAUGGCGAAGGCAGAUCUCUGGGCCGUAACUGACGCUGAGGAGCGAAAGCAUGGGGAGCGAACAGGAUUAGAUACCCUGGUAGUCCAUGCCGUAAACGUUGGGCGCUAGAUGUAGGGACCUUUCCACGGUUUCUGUGUCGUAGCUAACGCAUUAAGCGCCCCGCCUGGGGAGUACGGCCGCAAGGCUAAAACUCAAAGGAAUUGACGGGGGCCCGCACAAGCGGCGGAGCAUGCGGAUUAAUUCGAUGCAACGCGAAGAACCUUACCAAGGCUUGACAUACACCGGAAACGGCCAGAGAUGGUCGCCCCCUUGUGGUCGGUGUACAGGUGGGUGCAUGGUUGUCGUCAGCUCGUGUCGUGAGAAUGUUGGGUUAAGUCCCGCAACGAGCGCAACCCUCGUUCUAUGUUGCCAGCGGGUUAUGCCGGGGACUCAUAGGAGACUGCCGGGGUCAACUCCGAAGGAAGGGGGGGGAUGACGUCAAAUCAUCAUGCCCCUUAUGUCUUGGGCUUCACGCAUGCUACAAUGGCCCGGUACAAAGGGCUGCGAAUACCGUAAGGUGGGAGCGAAUCCCUAAAAAGCCGGUUUCAAUUUCGGAUUGAGGUCUGCAACUCCGACUCCAUGAAAUCCGAAUCCCUAGAAAUCGCCAAUACAACAACGCUUGGGGGGAAUACGUUCCCGGGUCUUGGACCAUCCGCCCGUGAAAGUUGAAAGUGGGGAACACCGAAUCCGGGGGGCUACCCCUUGG